rnacentral:rRNA from 1 species
AGAGUUGAUCCUGGCUUAGGACGAACGCUGGCGGCGUGCUUCAUACAUGCAAGUCGAACGAGAAAUUCACUUCGGUGAAUGGAAAGUGGCGGACGGGUGAGUAAUGUGUAGAGAAUCUGCCCUGGAGUGGGGGACAACAGAGGGAAACUUCUGCUAAUACCCCAUAUGCGCGUAGUUGCGAUACUAUUCGUGAAAGAUUUAUUGCUCCAGGAUGAGUCUGCAUCUGAUUAGCUAGUUGGGGGUGUAAUGGACCACCAAGGCGACGAUCAGUAGCUGGUUUGAGAGGAUGAUCAGCCACAAUGGGACUGAGACACGGCCCAUACUCCUACGGGAGGCAGCAGUAGGGAAUUUUGCGCAAUGGGCGAAAGCCUGACGCAGCCAACGCCGCGUGAUCGUAGAAGCCCUUCGGGGUGUAAAGAUCUGUCAGUAGGGACGAACAAUGACUGUACCUACAGAGGAAGCACCGGCUAACUCCGUGCCAGCCGCUGC